GAACGCUGGCGGCGUGCUUAACACAUGCAAGUCGAACGGUGAACACGGAGCUUGCUCUGUGGGAUCAGUGGCGAACGGGUGAGUAACACGUGAGCAACCUGCCCCUGACUCUGGGAUAAGCGCUGGAAACGGCGUCUAAUACUGGAUAUGUGACGUGACCGCAUGGUCUGCGUCUGGAAAGAAUUUCGGUUGGGGAUGGGCUCGCGGCCUAUCAGCUUGUUGGUGAGGUAAUGGCUCACCAAGGCGUCGACGGGUAGCCGGCCUGAGAGGGUGACCGGCCACACUGGGACUGAGACACGGCCCAGACUCCUACGGGAGGCAGCAGUGGGGAAUAUUGCACAAUGGGCGCAAGCCUGAUGCAGCAACGCCGCGUGAGGGACGACGGCCUUCGGGUUGUAAACCUCUUUUAGCAGGGAAGAAGCGAAAGUGACGGUACCUGCAGAAAAAGCGCCGGCUAACUACGUGCCAGCAGCCGCGGUAAUACGUAGGGCGCAAGCGUUAUCCGGAAUUAUUGGGCGUAAAGAGCUCGUAGGCGGUUUGUCGCGUCUGCUGUGAAAUCCGGAGGCUCAACCUCCGGCCUGCAGUGGGUACGGGCAGACUAGAGUGCGGUAGGGGAGAUUGGAAUUCCUGGUGUAGCGGUGGAAUGCGCAGAUAUCAGGAGGAACACCGAUGGCGAAGGCAGAUCUCUGGGCCGUAACUGACGCUGAGGAGCGAAAGGGUGGGGAGCAAACAGGCUUAGAUACCCUGGUAGUCCACCCCGUAAA
rnacentral:rRNA from 1 species